AUAUUUCAUGUGAGGGCCUUAGGCAGUCCACACUGUGAUACAAUUAGAGGUAUAGAAGUUUAUUGGGAUCAACCUCCAUAAAAGAAAUGUGGGAAGUGUCUGAUCAGUGCUGUGGGUCUGACUAGCCUCAGCCAUGUUGAGAGCAAAUGAGACACAUGAGAACCUUCCAUGGGCCCAAGCUCAGUGGUGUGUCUCACUUGGUCACCUCACGUAUACAAUUCUGGGUGUUAAGGAGACUGCAUGAGAGAUGAAGACAGAUGCAGUUGUGAUGGAGAUAAAUGCUACAUGAAGGAAUCAGCAGGCGGUCAAGACAGUUUUUGUUUUGUUUUGUUUUCAAGGCUAGAGAUUGAGGUUGGCACUUCAAAAUCCUAUGUAGAUGCUGCAUCUCCCAGAGUCAGUCCAUGUUGCUCUAGAUAACUAUUAGACCAAGCAAAUGAAGAAUGAACCAAAUUAAUAAAAUAUGAGAUGAAGGAAGGAAUAUCACAUGUCUUACUGCUGCAAUCCAUAAGUACAUAGAACCUACUAAAGUUGAACGAGGAGGAUAUUGAAAACUUAAACAGAACUGUGAGACUGGCAAGAAGACUAAGUGAAAGAUCCCCAAUUACAGACAGAUUUGCCAUCAAGCUUUUAUGAGACC
rnacentral:lncRNA from 1 species